UAGAGUUUGAUCCUGGCUCAGGACGAACGCUGGCGGCGUGCCUAAUACAUGCAAGUCGAACGAAACUUUCUUACACCGAAUGCUUGCAUUCACCGUAAGAAGUUGAGUGGCGGACGGGUGAGUAACACGUGGGUAACCUGCCUAAAAGAAGGGGAUAACACUUGGAAACAGGUGCUAAUACCGUAUAUCUCUAAGGAUCGCAUGAUCCUUAGAUGAAAGAUGGUUCUGCUAUCGCUUUUAGAUGGACCCGCGGCGUAUUAACUAGUUGGUGGGGUAACGGCCUACCAAGGUGAUGAUACGUAGCCGAACUGAGAGGUUGAUCGGCCACAUUGGGACUGAGACACGGCCCAAACUCCUACGGGAGGCAGCAGUAGGGAAUCUUCCACAAUGGACGCAAGUCUGAUGGAGCAACGCCGCGUGAGUGAAGAAGGUCUUCGGAUCGUAAAACUCUGUUGUUAGAGAAGAACACGAGUGAGAGUAACUGUUCAUUCGAUGACGGUAUCUACCAGCAGCCG
rnacentral:rRNA from 2 species